rnacentral:rRNA from 1 species
AUUGAACGCUGGCGGCAUGCUUUACACAUGCAAGUCGAACGGUAACAGGCCUUCGGGUGCUGACGAGUGGCGAACGGGUGAGUAAUGCAUCGGAACGUGCCCAAUCGUGGGGGAUAACGUAGCGAAAGUUACGCUAAUACCGCAUAAGCCCUGAGGGGGAAAGCAGGGGAUCGCAAGACCUUGCGCGAAUGGAGUGGCCGAUGUCAGAUUAGCUAGUUGGUGGGGUAAAGGCCUACCAAGGCGACGAUCUGUAGCGGGUCUGAGAGGAUGAUCCGCCACACUGGGACUGAGACACGGCCCAGACUCCUACGGGAGGCAGCAGUGGGGAAUUUUGGACAAUGGGCGCAAGCCUGAUCCAGCCAUGCCGCGUGCGGGACGAAGGCCUCGGUUGUAA